CCCUUAGAUGUUCUGGGCCGCACGCGCGCUACACUGAUGUAUUCAACGAGUCUAAAACCUGCUCUGAUAGGGGUGGGUAAUCUUUUGAAUGUGCAUCGUGAUUGGGAUAGAUGAUUGCAAUUUUUCAUCUUCAACGAGGAAUGCCUAGUAAACGCAAGUCAUCAGCUUGCAUUGAUUACGUCCCUGCCCUUUGUACACACCGCCCGUCGCUCCUACCGAUUGAAUGAUCCGAUGAAUAUCAUGGAUUGAGGAUGCAAGUAGGUUAGCCUAUCUUCAUCUUCGAGAAGUGAAGUAAAUCUUAUCAUUUAGAGGAAGGAGAAGUCGUAACA
rnacentral:rRNA from 1 species